rnacentral:rRNA from 1 species
ACCGGAUAGGACGAAAGUUUAAAGGUGCUUCGGCACCACUGAUGGAUGAGCCUGCGGCGCAUUAGCUAGUUGGUAGGGUUAAGGCCUACCAAGGCGACGAUGCGUAGCCGACCUGAGAGGGUGAACGGCCACACUGGGACUGAGACACGGCCCAGACUCCUACGGGAGGCAGCAGUAGGGAAUCUUCGGCAAUGGGCGAAAGCCUGACCGAGCAACGCCGCGUGAAUGAUGAAGGCCUUCGGGUUGUAAAAUUCUGUUAUAAGGGAAGAAUGGCUCUAGUAGGAAAUGGCUAGAGUGUGACGGUACCUUAUGAGAAAGCCACGGCUAACUACGUGCCAGCAGCCGCGGUAAUACGUAGGUGGCGAGCGUUAUCCGGAAUUAUUGGGCGUAAAGAGCGCGCAGGUGGUUGAUUAAGUCUGAUGUGAAAGCCCACGGCUUAACCGUGGAGGGUCAUUGGAAACUGGUCAACUUGAGUGCAGAAGAGGGAAGUGGAAUUCCAUGUGUAGCGGUGAAAUGCGUAGAGAUAUGGAGGAACACCAGUGGCGAAGGCGGCUUCCUGGUCUGUAACUGACACUG